rnacentral:rRNA from 1 species
UACAGAGGGUGCGAGCGUUAAUCGGAAUUACUGGGCGUAAAGGGCGCGUAGGCGGCGUGGUAAGUCAGCUGUGAAAUCUCCGAGCUUAACUCGGAACGGUCAGCUGAUACUGCUGUGCUAGAGUACAGAAAGGGCAAUCGGAAUUCUUGGUGUAGCGGUGAAAUGCGUAGAUAUCAAGAGGAACACCUGAGGCGAAGGCGGGUUGCUAGGCUGAUACUGACGCUGAGGCGCGAAAGCUAGGGUAGCAAACGGG